rnacentral:ncRNA from 20 species
CAGGAAGGCGGUGCGAAUCCGCCACGGUAGCGCCACUGUAACCGGGUACCCAGCCCCAUUGUGCCACUGCCGGAAUGGCGGGAAGGCGGGGUGGGGGGUCGAUCCGGAAGUCAGGAUACUG